rnacentral:lncRNA from 1 species
AGCAAACAAAGCAAGGGUAAGCUAGAUUUCAAAAAUAAUACAAGUGAUAUAAGAGCUACUAAAAUAAAAAGAAACAUACAAGCAAUACAAUCACAGAAGUACAAUUUUACUGAGUUAUAAAUUAGAGUUGUAUUAAGUGGUGUUAGACUUAGACUCGUCCGGACUUGGAAUGAAUAUCGAGCUAUGACGGGUUAUGCACUUGUGGUGGCCUCUACUGCUUUGCAAAGCCAUUGGCAAUGGGUUUCACCCUACCACACACAAGGUUAGUCCGUUAUCACUCACCUUGGCCCAUAUACAAUGGAGACAACCAAGACUAGGACCCCCUACUACUCUUCACCACAUGAACUAAUCUUCUCUAAGUGAGAUUGAAUAGUCAUUAGAGCAUUAAGGGCAACCCCCAAAACUGAGCUACCUAUAUUCAUUCCAGAACUUAACUUGAAUCACUCAUUCUUGGCCCAUAUAAAAUGGAGACACCCAAGAUUGAGCUUCCUAUAUUCAUUCUCAUAACUUAAUUUGAUCUCACCUAGAGAUGUACUUAAAUCACAUUACAUUCCACACUAACUUUACUUACUUUCAUACUUUUGAUUUCAUACCAUGAAUGUUUUAUAUUAGUUUAGUUUCUUACAGAAUUAAGCAUGAAUCAAUCUCAUAAUACUGGAAGUAAUCAUACCAAAUAAACAAGAAAAGAUACCUAGAUCAUCACACAAAAAAGGAAGAGAAAAAAAGAAUUACAUAUUUUCAGAAAAACAUCACUUAUUAAUACAAAUAUCCUUAUAACCUUAAAUUACCAAUACUUAGGUAAUUCAAAUAGCUUGGAAACCAUCACCAAUGGCUUCGGAAGGGUCAAAAACCCCCAGAACGACCUAAAGAACGUCCAAAACGGACGUUCGAAACCCCUUAAACUAUCAAAAAUAAAAAGCAACAGCAGAAAAGGGCGCCCAACGCCCUUUAGGGGCGCCCGGGCGCCAUAUUUCUGGCAAAUGCCGAAUCAAAGGGCGCCCAGCGCCCUUCAGGGGCGCCCAGGCGUGAACUCUGCAGAUUUUUCUGCAGAAUUUGCAGUUUUGGAAGAACUCACACCCCUAAGUUUCGUUUUAGGCCUUUUGGUGAAAUUCUAACCUCCCUAACACGAAGUAUGGUUGAUUUUAAACUUGUUUGAGGGUUCAUACAUGAUCUUAACACUCAUCUCUAAUAAUUAGGCAGAGAAUUUGGAUCAAUUCACUCAAUUUCCAUUACUUAAGAGUUCAAAUUCACAU